rnacentral:tRNA from 1 species
GCCUUCGUGGUGUAGUGGUCAGCUUGCUUGACGCGUAACCGAGAGGUCCGUGGUUCGAUUCCCGGCGAAGACG